UGUGCCGAGGGAUUGGCACAGGCGGUCAAGGAAGACUGCUUCACAGGACAUCGCAGGAGGCGAUUCAUCAGGACGAUGAACAUGGAUUAAAGGGAUUAUGGAAAAAAUGUGGGCGGGUCAAACCGCCCCUUUUUUU
rnacentral:sRNA from 1 species